rnacentral:rRNA from 1 species
CCUACGGGAGGCAGCAGUGGGGAAUAUUGGACAAUGGGCGGAAGCCUGAUCCAGCAAUACCGCGUGUGUGAAGAAGGCCUUCGGGUUGUAAAGCACUUUCAAUUGGGAGGAAAACCUGCCGGUCAAUACCCGGUAGCUUGACAUUACCUUUAGAAGAAGCACCGGCUAACUCCGUGCCAGCAGCCGCGGUAAUACGGAGGGUGCGAGCGUUAAUCGGAAUUACUGGGCGUAAAGCGUGCGUAGGCGGUUCGUUAAGUCAGAUGUGAAAGCCCCGGGCUCA